rnacentral:rRNA from 1 species
AGGGUGCGAGCGUUAAUCGGAAUUACUGGGCGUAAAGCGCGCGUAGGUGGCUUGAUCAGCCGGUUGUGAAAGCCCCGGGCUCAACCUGGGAACGGCAUCCGGAACUGUCAGGCUAGAGUGCAGGAGAGGAAGGUAGAAUUCCCGGUGUAGCGGUGAAAUGCGUAGAGAUCGGGAGGAAUACCAGUGGCGAAGGCGGCCUUCUGGACUGACACUGACACUGAGGUGCGAAAGCGUGGGUAGCA